CCACAGAAACAUUUUUUUUAGAGAUCUGCACAUUUGCUGGAAAUGAGGCCCUUUCUGGGGGUAAUGAUCUCAGGAGUUGAUCUUAUUUCUCCGUUUGCAACCACUGCAGAAAAGAACAAAACCUUCUUGUGCUGUGUUGAGCCACUGCUUAUAACGCCAUGUUGCUGUUGGUUUUGGUGCUUUUUGUUCAUUCCUGUGAUGCUUUAUAUAUAGAACUUUGCAAAGGCGCAAAUACUGAAUUACAAACUGGAAGAAAUGUGUUAAAAACAGGGCAACUGGUUUUCUUGCCGAGUUAUGGACAAUCAAGGAUUUUAAUGAUAAAAGGCAAGGCUACAAACCCACGUAUCACAGUUUUGUCCAACAAAGUACAUCUUAUAGGACUCCAAAAAGAAGAUGAAGGAAAAUAUCAAUUUAUAUCUCUCAGAGGGCUUGUAAACCAGUAUGAGGUAAAAGUAAUAGAAUGUUUUACAAUAAAGUAUAUGGACAAUUUUCAGCAUAAUGUUCCUGAAAGAGCUCAGUAUCUGUAUUUCAAGGAUUGGAAUGGAAACGAUGAAUUUCUGUGGGAUCGUGCACAAGGUCAGACCAUUAAUAAAAGACGAGGAAAUAUAAAGAACAAUGUCUGGACAAUGGUCGAUGUCACUCAGGCAGCUGGAGGAGUCUACUUCUUUACUCGUAAAGACAUGACUGUUGAGCUAAAGAUAAAGCUAUCUAUAAAAGAAGAAACCCAGGAUUAUAAAGUGAAAGUAAAUGAGAGCCUCUUCAUUAAAUUUCCUGAGCGCGGAGGACCUUGGGAUGUGGUGUUCAGCUCAAAAAAUAAACAACAGAGGGUGAUGAUCAAAAGUCAACUAGUUUUGGAAGGCACAUGAUUCAAGGGGAGAAUUACUAUUCAGAGUAAAAGCAUUGAAAUUAAAUCAGUGGAAGCAGAAGACUUUGGAACUUUUAACUUCCAUGAUCAACAAGGCAACCUGGCAAUGUCUGUUAAGCUGGAUGUUGACUCUGGACCUAAUCCCCUAGUUGCUUAUAUUGUUGUUCCGUUGGUCCUUCUGGCGGUUUGUGGCCUUUGUUGGAGUUUCUGCAGCAAAAAAGAUAAAUCAAAACCUAGCGAGCAGGCUUCUGUUUCUCCCAAUCCUGAUACUGUGCAUGCUUCACAGCCUAAUACCAACAUGUAUCCUCUGGUUCAUCAGGUUCCAAUUCCAGAUUAUCGUACUUCUACUACAAUCUAUGAAUCUGAGUCUGAUUCUAAUGCAACACAAGAUGUAAUUUCUAACAUCUUGAAGCUGAGCCAAGUGAUUCAAAGUUCUGUAUAACCCAAUUUAUUCAUGGCUUUGUUUAGAAGCAGGCUAUUUUUCCCUGAUAGUAAUAGCAUUGUCACAAACACAAUACAUCACCACUAGAUUUACCUAAAGCCUUAUGUGGAAACCGAAGGAACAGACUUGGAGAGGUUUUACCAUGGAUCUUAAAGGUGGAUCUUAAGUCCAAAAGCUCUGGAUGUUCAAAACUGUUGCAGAUAAAAGUAUGGUGUGAGCUUCAACGAGUUGCAAUGAUUACAAAUCACUAUUUUAAUAAGUGCAUUAGAUAUUAAUUUGUUUAAGUAUAUUUAUACAAUUGUACCUAUAGAUUGUAUUUUUUUACCUUACAUUUUUUACCAUUUGUUGCAGUACUCUAUUGAUUUAUAUACCCAUGUGUUUGAGUACUGCAAGCUUCUUUUUUGAGAUAGUAUAUAGCUCUGUUGUGUUUUUGUUUGUUCCUUAUUUGGUUUAUAGAGAAACAAAAUGCUUUACUAAAUAAUAUCCAAAACAUGUCACCUUUAAAGCUUUAUGUAACAUAUCAUAUGUAACAUUGAAUGAUGUUAUGUGAAUUUAAAGAGAACCAAAAGGAUACAAAUGUGACAUAUUUAGUAAAGGCAAGAAUACAAAGAUUGCUUGUAUUUCUA